AUGACAGAAAAUGAAGAUCCUCAAGGGAAGGCUAAGAAAAUUCCUCUUCCUUCCAAAACUGCCUUGCAGGAUCAGUGGAAAAUUUCUGUUCAGAACAGGAUCCUUGGCAAGGAUACACCACCACCAGGCAGCUUGCAGUAUGACUUUAAAACAGCGAUUACAGCAGUACUGCAUAUUGCAGGCAUCCUGGGACUCUCCUGCUUUCUUCUGGUGCCAGGCUGUCACUGUGAUCUCACUGCUGUCCUCCAUCAGGUCCACAUGCAGGAACCAUUCUACUGUUUGCAGCAUGGGGAAUGGAUGGCAGAGCUAAAGAAGAUCCUGGAAAAAAAAAACCUAACCCUUCCAUUAAGGUCUUCUGCUGAAAGAUUUUGUGAGAUUGCAUAAAUCUGUGCAUGAGCAAAAAAAGCUUCACUACAGAGCAGCUCAGUGCUAUUGAUCCUUGAAUUUAGGAGCCCUCUGGAAUCUGUCAUGAAAGAAAGGUAAGAUUUUGGUUGGUUGGUUGGUUUUGUUUGUUCUGUUGUGUUUUGUUUUUUUUUCUUCUUCUUAAGGAGAAUGAUCUUCCUGUUUGUGAUUUACAGGCCUGGAUAAAAUAAAAUUUAAAAAUGACAUCUAUACGUUGCA
rnacentral:lncRNA from 1 species